rnacentral:rRNA from 1 species
GGCUUAUUGAAUUAUAAUUUUAAGUCUAUCUGCCCAAUGAUGUAAAAAAUUUAAUGGCUGCAGUAUAACUGACUGUACAAAGGUAGCAUAAUCAAUUGUUUUUUAAUUAAAAACUGGUAUGAAAGAAUUAAUGAGAUAUAUUCUGUCUCAUAUAUAUAUUAUAAAAUUAAAUUUUUAGUAAAAAUGCUAAAAUUAAUUUAUGGGACGAUAAGACCCUAUAGAAUUUUAUAUUGAUAUUUUAAUUAAAAUUAAUUUAAAAUAUUAAUAUUUUAUUGGGAGGAUAAAUAAAUUAAAAUAACUUUAUUUUAAAUUAAAACUUUAAUUUAAGAAUAUUUUUUUGAUCUUUUAUUAUGAAUUAUAAGAAUAAAUUACCUUAGGGAUAACAGCGUAAUAUCUUUUUAAAGAUCAUAUUGAUAAAGAUGGUUGCGACCUCGAUGUUGAAUUAAGAUAAAUUUUAAAUGGAGAAAUUUAAUAAUUAAGUCUGUUCGACUUUUAAUAUCUUACAUGAUUUGAGUUCAAAUCGACGUGAGU